rnacentral:rRNA from 1 species
UGGGGAAUAUUGGACAAUGGGGGCAACCCUGAUCCAGCCAUGCCGCGUGAGUGAAGAAGGCCUUAGGGUUGUAAAGCUCUUUCAGUCGUGACGAUGAUGACGGUAGCGACAGAAGAAGCCCCGGCUAACUCCGUGCCAGCAGCCGCGGUAAUACGGAGGGGGCGAGCGUUGUUCGGAUUUACUGGGCGUAAAGGGCGCGUAGGCGGGGUAUCCAGUUAGGGGUGAAAGCCCGGGGCUCAACCUCGGAACUGCCUUUAAAACUGAUACUCUAGAGUCCGGAAGAGGGUCGCGGAAUUCCCAGUGUAGAGGUGAAAUUCGUAGAUAUUCGGAAGAACACCAGUGGCGAAGGCGACUCGCUGGACAGGUAUUGACGCUGAGGUGCGAAAGCGUGGGGAGCAAACAGGAUUAGAUACCCGCGUAGUCC